rnacentral:lncRNA from 10 species
CCGCCAGUAAACGCGGACGGUACCCCAGGGGACUACCCAGCCGGCCGGCCCUGGAAGCCGCGCUCGGGUCCCGCCGCAGUCGGCGGUGGGGGAUGGGCAGGCAGUGGCGGUCCCGCCUGCCGAGGGUUAACCCCCGCCGGUCCCGGUCCUGAGCUGGACCAGAGCCCUCCUCCAGAAACCCCUGCGUCCGCCACGGCCCAGGUUAAAUGGAAACCACCCUUGGGAACUGGAUGCCUGUGUAGCUGUUCUACCAUAUCAGUGUAUUGCAAUGAGUGGGGGAGGAGAGCAGCUGGAUAUCCUGAGUGUUGGAAUCCUAGUGAAAGAAAGAUGGAAAGUGGGAAAGACCAUGUUUGUAGAUUUAUUGGCUGUGGGAGGAAUGAUCGAUUCAACUAUGUGGUCAUGCAGUUGCAGGGUCGGAAUCUGGCAGAUCUUCGCCGUAGCCAGUCCCGAGGCACAUUCACCAUUAGUACCACUCUCCGGCUGGGUAGACAGAUUUUGGAGUCUAUUGAAAGCAUUCAUU